UGACAUGUUCGUAGUGCAGCGAUCAGGAUAAUCAAAAGAAAUGCACAACUGGA
rnacentral:sRNA from 12 species